rnacentral:rRNA from 1 species
GAUGAACGAGGGAGGCGUGCCUAAUACAUGCAAGUCGAACGGGGAGUAGCAAUACUCUUAGUGGCGAACGGGUGAGUAACGCGUUGGUACCUGCCCCGAAGCGGGGGAUAACGGACCGAAAGGUCCGCUAAUACCCCAUGUGCUCGGUAACGAGUAAAGGUGAAAACCACUUUGGGAGGGGCAUGCGUCCCAUCAGCUAGUUGGUAAGGUAACGGCUUACCAAGGCGAUGACGGGUAGGGGACCUGAGAGGGUGGCCCCCCACAAUGGAACUGAAACACGGUCCAUACACCUACGGGUGGCAGCAGUAGGGAAUAUUGGUAAUGGGCGCAAGCCUGAACCAGCAACGCCGCGUGUGCGAUGACGGCCUUCGGGUUGUAAAGCACUUUUGACUGGGACGAGGAAGGACGGUACCGGUCGAAUCAGCCUCGGCUAACUACGUG